GGGAGGGGACAUUAGGACUUAGCACGAGAGCCACCGGGCUCUGGGCUGCGGAGGAGGUUGGAGGUGACCUUCCAGAAGGAACGUGGGACAAGGGAGCAAGUGAGGACCUGGUGGGUAGUGGUUACUCUGUGAGAAGCCAGCAGCACCAACCAAAUAGAAGGUGGAGAAGUGGCCCCCAGCUUCCCAGUUUGGGUUUGGGCCAAGACAACUAAGAAAAGGGUCCACCGUCUUCACUCCAGGUCAGAUGACCCUGCAUUGUAUCAAGUAGAAAAAUGUCUAACCAAGACAGAGGAGAAUACGAACCCUCUCAGCUCAUAGACAGGUGAUGAUGUGGUUUCCAACUGACUUUCAAGCAAACAGAUUUCCAAGCGUGCUUGAAGAGGGCAGUAAAUGAGAAGGCACAAGACUCUUACUCUGAAGGAGGACGAUCAGAACGGCAUAGCUGCCUUCUUGGCCUGUCACAGAAUUAAAUGGCAAAGGGUUCCGAGGACUAUCUAGCAUAUACUGCUGUCACUACAGGGGCGUGGUCUGUAAGAGGGAUAACCCAGCCCCCUAAUAAGGCAAGCAUGUCAUUUUCUGUGACAGAUGCAAGAAGAGAGAGGGGUUUGCUGGAAAUCGUGGCUGACCACCUCAGAAGGACCCAGAAGACCCGAACUUUCUGGUUUUGCCUUUCACCUUGCUCUGAAACUUCUCCCAACACUGGAAGACAAGAAAGUUCCGCCCUACCUCCGCCCCACCUCCGCCCCCCGGACCAGGGAGAUUCUUCUCUUUGGGCAAGCAGGCUUGCUGGGCAAUCGUGAGCUGCUGAGUUCCCAUCCCCAUAGAAAGCUGGACAUGGACAUGCAUGCCUGUUUCUGCAGCAUGCUCAACUCCAGGAGCUCUCUGGUCUCCUAUAAAUAAAGGAUAACACAUUCGGCCUUCUUACCAUUUC